rnacentral:rRNA from 1 species
CCAAUAGCGUAUAUUAAAGUUGUUGCAGUUAAAGAGCUCAUAGUUGAAUUUCGGGAUCAAUAUAUCGGUCGUGCCUUGGUACGUACUGGUAUCAUUGGUUUCUCCUUUCUUACGAACCAUGAUGUCAUUAAUUUGGUGUUAUGGGAAGUUAGGACUGUUACUUUGAAAAAAUUAGAGUGUUUAAAGCAGGCUUUAGCUUGAAUACAUUAGCAUGGAAUAAUGAAAUAGGACGUUCGAACCUAUUUUGUUGGUUUCUAGGAUCAACGUAAUGAUUAAUAGGGAUAGUUGGGGGCAUUAGUAUUCAAUUGUCAGAGGUGAAAUUCUUGGAUUUAUUGAAGACUAACUACUGCGAAAGCAUUUGCCAAGGAUGUUUUCAUUAAUCAAGAACGAAAGUUAGGGGAUCGAAGACGAUCAGAUACCGUCGUAGUCUUAACCAUAAACUAUGCCGACUAGGGAUCGGAUGAUGUUAAUUUUUUAAUGACUCAUUCGGCGCCUUACG